CCGUUCUUGUGUUAUUCACUGGACUCACCUUAUAGUCCUGUGAUUGUCAAACAGAACGUACAGUAAACUCAAAGCAACUACUCACUCCACAAUGAAAAGUCGACUAUAACCAAGGCUUCAUCAUUACUAAAUGUUUGCUACAGAG
rnacentral:snoRNA from 12 species